UACAGAGGGUGCAAGCGUUGUUCGGAAUUACUGGGCGUAAAGCGCGUGUAGGCGGUCUGGUAAGUCGGUCGUGAAAUCCCUAGGCUUAACCUAGGAACUGCGAUCGAAACUGUUAGACUUGAGUAUCGGAGGGGGUGGCGGAAUUCCCGGUGUAGAGGUGAAAUUCGUAGAUAUCGGGAGGAACACCUGUGGCGAAGGCGGCCACCUGGAAGAUUACUGACGCUGAGACGCGAAAGCGUGGGGAGCAAACAGG
rnacentral:rRNA from 1 species